CUGGGAAGUGUAGUUCCUGCGCGGAGUCCGCGGGGCUCUGACUUCAGGACACGUGGUCGCGCGGGUCGCUGCGCGGGAAGAUUGGGGGCGGCAGAGCUUGCGUCCAGUGUUACUAGACAUCCAGACCUGAAAAGCAUCCUGUCAGAAUCUGCAGAAUUUCAAAAGGAUUGAUGGGUUUGUAUGGAAGUUUUCAGCGUUCAGAAGCAUUAAAUCCUGCCCAAUGCAGUCUAUCAUCUGCGUAGCUGCUGCAGUGCAAAUAAAUCAUGAAUUGCUACACAAACCUUCUCACACACCAGCGACUGCUCGCCACUGCACCCUUCACCUGCACGCCUUCACCCACCGGCUGGAACACUCACUCUUCACCCUGGUUCUUCACCAGACCUGUCAUGGAUCAAUGUAAACAAGGACACAAAACAGGAUUGGAGCCUGAACAAUAAAGGAAGAGGAAGAUUGGUAUCAGAUCAAGAUGUAUCCCACUUUGGCCAGCAGUUUAAUCGCAGAAGUUCUGGAAUGAAGUUCUAGGCUGUACUAUGCUCAUGCCUACACAUGGGCUUCCCUGGUGACCCAGUGGUAAAGAAACCACCUGUCUGUGGAGGAAACUUGGGUUUGAUCCCUGGGUCGGGAAGGUCCCCUGGAGAAGGAAAUGGCACCCCACUCCAGUAUUCUUGCCUGGAGAAUCCCAUGGACAGAGGAGCCUGGUGGGUUACAGUCCUUGGGGUCGCAGAGUCAGACACAACAGAGCAACUGAACAACGAACAACAAAUGUGUUUUUUGAAAUCAAUCUGGCUGCCCCAGCUUGCUUGUAGUUUACACAUGCAAAUGCAUGAGUAUAUUUAUCAUCUUCUUUUUUAAUAUAUGUAUUUUAAUGACGGAUACUUGACUUACAAUGUUCCGGUUAUAUAUAUAUACACAUAUAUUAUUUUUCAGAUUAUUUUCCAUGGUAGGUUAUUACAAGAUAUUGACUGUAGUUUCCUGUGUCAUACAGUAAACCUUUGUUGCUUGAUGCAUCUCUAUUUUUUUAAAUUAGAAUCUAGGAUUCUCUUCAUACUAAGUCCAACAAGUGGAGUCAAAAUGUCAUAAACUUUUUAGCUAGGCAAAAAUUCAUGUUUUCCUAUAUAUAUUAUACAGACUAUAUAUAUAUAUAUAUAUAUAUAAAAGACUAUAUAUGUAUGUUUAUCUUAUUUACUCUUCUUAGAAUUACUGAGACACUUGAGUCUGUGACUUGGUGACCUCAUCAUCAGUUCUGGAUAAUUCUCAGGCGUUAUCUCUUCAAAUUGGCCUCUGGGUCUUCUCUCUUCUUCUAUAACUAAUCAAGCAUAUAGAGUUCUCCACCUUUCUUAAGCUCUUUUCUGUAUUUUCCACUUUUUUUUUUUUUUACUCUGUAUUAAAAUUCUGGGUAAAUGCUUCAGUCUGCCUAUGAACUAAUUCUUCUACUUCGCAUUAUCUGCUUCUUCACACAUCUGUUGAGCUUUUGGUUUUUUUUCUUGUUUUUAUUUUUUGACCUCACCAUGCAGCUCAUGGGAUCUUAGUUCCUUGAGCAGGGAUCCAGCCUGGGCUCUCAGCAAUAAAAUCAGCAAUAAAAGCGUAAGAGUCGUCACCCCUGGACCCCCAGAGGAUUCGCUACUGAGCUUUUAGUCCCAGCCAUUAUAUAUAUUUUUUAUUUUGAAACAUGCCACUUGGUUCUUUUUCAGAACUGCAAGGUCAUGCCUUUACUUGCCUGUGCCUGCAAAUAUUUUCCAAGCGUGUCAUUUAUUCCUCUAAAUGCUGCGGAUGUUUGUCUUACAAGCUGUAUCUGGCUAUUUGUGGGGCUGUUUCUGCUGGUAUCAUUCGUGUUUCCUUGUUACCUUGGGUCUUGGUUAUUGUUGAUGGAAUGCUGGUCCUUGUCUUUGAAAACCUUGGUGGGCAUUCUCCAGGGCCUCUCAGGAUGGUGGCCUUCUGAAGAGAUUUGCCAGGACCCGAGAGUGUUUUACCACCUGGGAAACGCCUUGCACUGACCUGAAGGUGUGGGUUCACUUGUGCAUCCGAGCUGUGCAUGUCCAGGGUGCAGAUCUGCCUUUUUUUCUUCAUCUACAACUAAUUAUGUAAAUAUCCUCUCAUAUUUGUUUUGCUAUAUUAUUUUUUAAAAAUUAUCCAUGCUGGGAUUUCCCUGGUGGUCCAGUGGUUAAAACUCUGUGCUUCUAAUUCAGGGUUCCUGGGUCUGAUCCCACAUGCCUCACAGCCCAGCGAAAAAAUAAAAAUGAGUAAUAUAAUAAGAAGAACAAUAAAAUAAUCUUUAAAAUUAUCCAUGCUAUUUUGAAGUAAUUUAGACAAGAAAAAUGUAAAUAUGUGAGUAUUCUAAAACUUCUGUUGUCAACCUUCAUCAAUAUUCGAUACCACCACUGAUGCAUAGGAAACUUUUUUUGCAUAUAGACGAAAUAUCGAUGAUGGAUGAGUAGAUUGAAAGAUAAAGUAAAGAUGGUUACUUUUGUAAAGAUGGUAACCAUAAAUGUUAUUGUUGUGAUUAAAAUAGUAGAUUUCAUUGGAUCUAGUAUAAGAAAAAUAAAAGGAAGUGAAAUUGAAAGAAUUGUUGGACUUCAUAUCUCUUUACCACAAGGAAACUCAUUUCCUGAAAUAUACCUCUAAGGUUUUUUUUUUUUAAGUGCAGGUGUAAGUUUUAAAAAUAUUACAAUAUUAGAGACAUUUUACCUUUUUAAAGGGGCUUCCCCGAUGGCUCAGU